UUGUCGCUGUGUUGUUCGUUUGA
rnacentral:siRNA from 1 species